AGAGUUUGAUCCUGGCUCAGGACGAACGCUGGCGGCGCGCCUAACACAUGCAAGUCGAACGAGCGAGAGAGAGCUUGCUUUCUCGAGCGAGUGGCGAACGGGUGAGUAACGCGUGAGGAACCUGCCUCAAAGAGGGGGACAACAGUUGGAAACGACUGCUAAUACCGCAUAAGCCCACGGCUCGGCAUCGAGCAGAGGGAAAAGGAGCAAUCCGCUUUGAGAUGGCCUCGCGUCCGAUUAGCUAGUUGGUGAGGUAACGGCCCACCAAGGCGACGAUCGGUAGCCGGACUGAGAGGUUGAACGGCCACAUUGGGACUGAGACACGGCCCAGACUCCUACGGGAGGCAGCAGUGGGGAAUAUUGCACAAUGGGGGAAACCCUGAUGCAGCGACGCCGCGUGGAGGAAGAAGGUCUUCGGAUUGUAAACUCCUGUUGUUGGGGAAGAUAAUGACGGUACCCAACAAGGAAGUGACGGCUAACUACGUGCCAGCAGCCGCGGUAAAACGUAGGUCACAAGCGUUGUCCGGAAUUACUGGGUGUAAAGGGAGCGCAGGCGGGAAGACAAGUUGGAAGUGAAAUCUAUGGGCUCAACCCAUAAACUGCUUUCAAAACUGUUUUUCUUGAGUAGUGCAGAGGUAGGCGGAAUUCCCGGUGUAGCGGUGGAAUGCGUAGAUAUCGGGAGGAACACCAGUGGCGAAGGCGGCCUACUGGGCACCAACUGACGCUGAGGCUCGAAAGUGUGGGUAGCAAACAGGAUUAGAUACCCUGGUAGUCCACACCGUAAACGAUGAUUACUAGGUGUUGGAGGAUUGACCCCUUCAGUGCCGCAGUUAACACAAUAAGUAAUCCACCUGGGGAGUACGACCGCAAGGUUGAAACUCAAAGGAAUUGACGGGGGCCCGCACAAGCAGUGGAGUAUGUGGUUUAAUUCGACGCAACGCGAAGAACCUUACCAGGACUUGACAUCCCACGCAUAGCCUAGAGAUAGGUGAAGUUCUACGGGACGUGGAGACAGGUGGUGCAUGGUUGUCGUCAGCUCGUGUCGUGAGAUGUUGGGUUAAGUCCCGCAACGAGCGCAACCCUUAUGGUCAGUUACUACGCAAGAGGACUCUGGCCAGACUGCCGUUGACAAAACGGAGGAAGGUGGGGAUGACGUCAAAUCAUCAUGCCCUUUAUGACUUGGGCUACACACGUACUACAAUGGCGUUAAACAAAGAGAAGCAAGACCGCGAGGUGGAGCAAAACUCAGAAACAACGUCCCAGUUCGGACUGCAGGCUGCAACUCGCCUGCACGAAGUCGGAAUUGCUAGUAAUCGUGGAUCAGCAUGCCACGGUGAAUACGUUCCCGGGCCUUGCACUCACCGCCCGUCA
rnacentral:rRNA from 1 species